GAUCAAGUGUCUUAAGGGCAAUUGGUGGAUGCCUUGGCAUGCACAGGCGAUGAAGGACGUGAUACGCUGCGAUAAGCUACGGGGAGGUGCGAAUACCCUUUGAUCCGUAGAUUUCCGAAUGGGGAAACCCACCUAAGGUACUUGGAAAAUCAGAGCAGCCAGAAGGUCGCAAGGCCGACUUGCUGCUGUGGUUUCCAAGUAUCGUUAAUAGGUAACUUAUCCUGAAUACAUAGGGA
rnacentral:rRNA from 1 species